rnacentral:rRNA from 1 species
GACGAACGCUGGCGGCGUGCUUAACACAUGCAAGUCGAACGAGAGCGUAGAGAAAGCUUGCUUUUUCUACAAUCUAGUGGCAAACGGGUGAGUAACGCGUAAACAACCUGCCCUACGGAUGGGGACAACAGCUGGAAACGGCUGCUAAUACCGAAUACGUUCCGAAAGUCGCAUGACUAUCGGAAGAAAGGAUGGCCUCUAUUUAUAAGCUAUCGCCGGAGGAGGGGUUUGCGUCUGAUUAGCUAGUUGGAGGGGUAACGGCCCACCAAGGCGACGAUCAGUAGCCGGACUGAGAGGAUGAACGGCCACAUUGGAACUGAGACACGGUCCAGACUCCUACGGGAGGCAGCAGUGGGGAAUCUUCCGCAAUGGGCGAAAGCCUGACGGAGCAACGCCGCGAGAGGGAAGACGGCCUUCGGGUUGUAAAGCUCUGUUAUACGGGACGAAUAAUCUUGUGGUUAAUACCCAUGAGAAGUGACGGUACCGUAAGAGAAAGCCACGGCUAACUACGUG